UUUACUCUUCCCCCAACUUUCGCAUAGAACAUUUGAACGCUUCACAUAUUCCUACCUAGGUUUCUCAAACCCAACACCACAAGAAUCCAAGAGUCUUUUUCUCCAUCUUCGUCGUUCACUCUUUCCACCGAUCCCAACCCAAAUCAUAAUCUUACUCCAUCUCCACCGUCUGAUCUUCCCAAAUCCACACCUCCCUCGCCCAUAACCUUCGAUUCCUGGGACGACGACGAAUUUCCCUCACCCAUAACCUUCGAUUCCUUGGACGACGAUGAAUUUCCCUCUCGGCAACCCUAAUUGUGAGAAUGGAGCUACCAGAGCUCCAAUUUGCAUUGAUCUGCAAUGAGAUACUUCUAUGAGCAACUUGAAAAUAAAUCUCAGCAAGUGCUUUAAGACAUUCUUUGCAAGAUAGGCUGUUUUAUUUUUGUUGUCGGGUAGAUGAAAUGAACCAAGAGUUAGUUUCUUUGAACAAAAUUUUGUGGAUCUAGCAGGAAGUGAGUGUGCUUCUCAGACAUACGAUUUUUUGGUUCUUUGAAUAUUGAUUCCAUUUCAUUGAGGACUGAAUCAUAAAUUGUAUAUGAUGAAAUACUAUUAAUGUUUCAUGGUGCUUCCUCCUGGUGGUGAGGAACUUAAUGAUGACGAGGGUAAUAGGAUUUUCAGCUUUAAGAUUUCAUUAGGAAUUGAUGAUCCUGAUGCAACUGAUAUGCAUAGAGGUAUUUAUGUUAUGUGUUAAUUUCAUGCAUCACUGGUUAUAUUUUCUGUUCAAGGUUUGCUAAUAGUAAUGGUUUUUUAUGGUUGAGAACAAGUUCGGAAGAAGGCAAUGAAAUUGGUUUGGAUUUCAGUGAUCAAAUUUUCUCAUUGAAGACUAAGUACCAACAGGUUUGACUGUCAUAACAAUAAUUUGUUACUCCCAAAAAAAUUGGAUUAUUUGAAUGACGAAACUGAUGAUGAAUACUAUAUUGAAUUAUGUGCACAACCUUAGGUUUUGGAUUUUGCAUGUUAUGUCCCAAUCUUUGAUGUUGAGACCGCAAUCGCAGUUGCACAUCACAAUUUAAAACGAAUCAUGAGAAAGUUGUGAUACUACUGUCUGAUUGUUGGUUGCAAGAAUGAAUCUGUCAUAUUUUAGCACGUAUUGGUUCAGUUAUGUCAUAAAUGAAUUAGUUGAGCUUAACUUUAAUGAACAAUAUAUUAAAAUCAGGGUGGUGGUUAAUGAAGGGAAAACAACUCCAUUCUGUGUCAAAAAUGGUGAUUUUUGUUGCUUGAGUGGUGAAUGAAAUGUCAAAAAUUACAGGUUUCCAUUCUCAUUGUUUGGCCUUCUCAAUAUGUAUUCAGCUUCUCUACUGGAGGGCCUAAUGAAAGUUUAGUUGCUGUCGGUUGUAUUUUGCAGGUUUGCAUUUAGUUUCAGAUACUUUGGUGAUUGAUACUGUGUGAAAUGAUUUGAAGUUAAUAUUUAGGGAAUUGGGAGUUCGUAUAUAUCCACGAGAGUCAUUUUUAUCAUCCAAAAUAAAGCUUUAAGGAGUCCUUAUGCCAGCUCUGGUUCUUUUUGUCGGCGAUGAACCAGUGGAUAUAUCAAUGAUGAUGAUCAUAAGUUUGGGACUACGUAGGUGACUCAAUUUCAAUUUCCUUCAAUUGAUAACUCUCGUGCUGUUUUCUUAUUUUUUGGAUUUGUGAAACAGUGUAAUUUUCUGUUUCAAACUACCUGCGAAAAAGCCGCAAUGGAAAUUAUCAAUGCACACGAGUACUUUGCUAAUUUAUGUGUAAUAUUUAUAAUAUUCACACAUACUAAAUAUUGAGUGAGUGAGUGGUUUUAUCAUGAAAAGAGGAAAACAAAAAUAAUGAAUGAGCAAUAUAAUAUUCAUACAUACUAAA